rnacentral:lncRNA from 1 species
GCAAGCAGGUGGGCAGAGCUUCAAUCAUAAACAAUGGUGAAGGGCAGGCAAGGCGAGCGCGUCAGGUCCGCCACCUCUCUCGAACUUCUGAUUCCGUCCAAUUAGCUUCUUAAAGCUCAAUCACACUUGUUUGUUUUUCUCUUCGCAGACUCUAUGUUCGAGGAACAAUUCUGGGAUACAAAAGGUCAAAAUCAAACCAAUAUCCAAACACAUCACUGAUUCAGGUCGAGGGAGUGAACACAAAGGAAGAGGUGGCGUGGUACUGCGGCAAGCGUUUGGCUUACAUUUACAAGGCCAAGACUAAGAAGAACGGAUCCCACUACCGUUGCAUUUGGGGAAAAGUUGC